rnacentral:rRNA from 1 species
CGCGGUAAUUCCAGCUCCAAUAGCGUAUACUAAAGUGUUGCAGUUAAAAAGCUCGUAGUUGGAUUUCUGGCGGGGACGGCUGGUCGGUCUCGAAAGGGGCUGUACUGUUGUUGGUUCCCGUCAUCCUUGGGGAGAGCGGCUCUUACGUUAAGUUGUCGGCGUCGGGAUCCCUAUCUUUUACUGUGAAAAAAUUAGAGUGUUCAAAGCAGGCUUAGGCCCUGAAUACAUUAGCAUGGAAUAAUAAGAUACGAUCUUGGUGGUCUAUUUUGUUGGUUUGCACGCCAAGGUAAUGAUUAAUAGGGAUAGUUGGGGGUAUUCGUAUUCAAUUGUCAGAGGUGAAAUUCUUGGAUUUAUGGAAGACGAACUACUGCGAAAGCAUUUACCAAGGAUGUUUUCAUUAAUCAAGAACGAAAGUUAGGGGAUCGAAGAUGAUUAGAUACCAUCGUAGUCUUAACCAUAAACUAUGCCGACUAGGGAUCGGUGGGUGCAUUUUUAGGCCUCAUCGGCACCUUAUGAGAAAUCAAAGUCUUUGGGUUCCGGGGGGAGUAUGGUCGCAAGGCUGAAACUUAAAGAAAUUGACGG